rnacentral:tRNA from 2 species
AAGGUUUUAAGUUAUUAUAAACUAUUAAUCUUCAAAAUUAAAUAUAUAGAAAUCUCUCUUUAAGCCUUA